AAGAAGUUAGUUAAAGUAUAUAACAUUAGUAUGUCAUGCUAAAAUUAUUAAAUAUUGAUACAUCUUA
rnacentral:tRNA from 1 species